rnacentral:rRNA from 1 species
CCUACGGGAGGCAGCAGUGGGGAAUAUUGGACAAUGGGGGCAACCCUGAUCCAGCCAUGCCGCGUGUGUGAAGAGGGCCCUCGGGUUGUAAAGCACUUUCAGCGAGGAAGAACGCCUAGCGGUUAAUACCCGCUAGGAAAGACAUCACUCGCAGAAGAAGCACCGGCUAACUCCGUGCCAGCAGCCGCGGUAAUACGGAGGGUGCAAGCGUUAAUCGGAAUUACUGGGCGUAAAGCGCGCGUAGGUGGCUUGAUAAGCCGGUUGUGAAAGCCCCGGGCUCAACCUGGGAACGGCAUCCGGAACUGUCAAGCUAGAGUGCAGGAGAGGAAGGUAGAAUUCCCGGUGUAGCGGUGAAAUGCGUAGAGAUCGGGAGGAAUACCAGUGGCGAAGGCGGCCUUCUGGACUGACACUGACACUGAGGUGCGAAAGCGUGGGUAGCAAACAGGAUUAGAUACCCUGGUAGUCCACGCCGUAAACGAUGUCGACCAGCCGUUGGGUGCCUAGCGCACUUUGUGGCGAAGUUAACGCGAUAAGUCGACCGCCUGGGGAGUACGGCCGCAAGGUUAAAACUCAAAUGAAUUGACGGA